UUAGCUACUAGUCGGUCGCGAGGCCGACGAACGCGAGGCGGGCCUUGGGGGUCGGGAGGGUCUCUCGUCUUCUCUGACGACUUGACCUCAAAUCAGGUAGGACUACCCGCUGAACUUAAGCAUAUCAAUAAGCGGAGGAAAAGAAACUAACAAGGAUUCCCCUAGUAACUGCGAGUGAAGCGGGAUGAGCUCAAAUUUUGAAUCUGGCGGUCUUCGGCCGUCCGAGUUGUAAUCUAGAGAAGCGUCUUCCGCGCUGGCCCGUGUACAAGUCUCCUGGAAAGGAGCGUCGUAGAGGGUGAGAAUCCCGUCUUUGACACGGACUACCAGUGCUAUGUGAUGCGCUCUCGACGAGUCGAGUUGUUUGGGAAUGCAGCUCAAAACGGGUGGUAAAUUCCAUCUAAAGCUAAAUACAGGCGAGAGACCGAUAGCGAACAAGUACCGUGAGGGAAAGAUGAAAAGAACUUUGGAAAGAGAGUUAAACCGUACGUGAAAUUGCUGAAAGGGAAACGCUUGAUGUCAGUCGCGUCGCCCGGGGAUCAACCUUGCUUAACCGCUCGGCGUACUUCCCGGUCGACGGGUCAGCAUCAGUUUCGGUCGCAGUACAAGGGCGAGGGGAACGUGGCACUCUCCGGAGUGUGUUAUAGCCCUUCGUCGCAUGCCGCGGUCGGGACUGAGGAACUCGGCACGGCUUCGGUCUGUGCUUGGGAUGCUGGCAUAAUGGCCUUAAGCGACCCGU
rnacentral:rRNA from 2 species